rnacentral:lncRNA from 1 species
CUGCAGCGGCGCCGACGGUCAGUGAGUCAAUUACAUACUGCCCACUCAAAAAAAAAAAAAAAAAGGAAUUCAAACUUCGUAUUCUACUAUUUCCUGAAAGAUAUGAACUCCUAAGCAACCUUUCCCUCGAGUCCAUUUAAGCUCAGCGCAUACCCCAAAAAAGAUACACUACAAUGUGCCUCAAAGAACCUCAAGAGGGAGGAGAAAAACAACUUUUCCAUAGGAUAAGAUGAAGGAUAAAGGGAUUACAUCUUACUGAAGUCACUGAGCAUCUUCGGAUUUGAAACAAGAACAUGUGAUUUCUGCUUAAGAGAAUUCCACAGAUGCAAGUGAGAUCCUAUCCAGUCUAAAGUCCAGGUGUGGUGGGCUCUUCCUUCUCGGGUCUAGAAGCAGCAGCUGUAGCUGUUGUGAGAGGAGUUCUUCUUUAGGGAAUACUCAAUGGGGAAAGACAGUCUCUUCAAUAAAUGGUGCUGGGAUAACUGAAUAUUCACGUGGAAAAGAAUGAAAUAGGACCGUGCUCAUACACCACUCACAAAAAUUAACUCAAGA